rnacentral:rRNA from 1 species
AACGAACGCUGGCGGCAGGCCUAACACAUGCAAGUCGAGCGAGGACUUCGGUCCUAGCGGCGGACGGGUGAGUAACGCGUGGGAACGUGCCCUUUGGUUCGGAAUAGCCCAGGGAAACUGGGAGUAAUACCGGAUAAGCCCUACGGGGGAAGGAUUUAUCGCCAAAGGAUCGGCACGCGUUGGAUUAGGUAGUUGGUGGGGGAAUGGCCUACCAAGCCGACGAUCCAUAGCUGGUUUGAGAGGAUGAUCAGCCACACUGGGACUGAGACACGGACCAGACUCCAACGGGGGGCAGUGGUGGGGACUCUUAGACAGAGGGGGACACCGUGAUCUCGCCAUGCCGCGUGAGCGACGAAGGCCUUAGGGUUGUAAAGCUCUUUCAGUGGGGAAGAUAAUGACUGUACCCACAGAAGAGGCCCCGGCUAACUCCGUGCCAGCCGCCGCGGUAAGAC